AGAUCAAAUUGUUGGUCGUGCCUCGGUACGCACUGGCAUUAUUGGUUCCUCCUUCCUGAUGAACUGUAAUGCCAUUAAUUUGGUGUUUUGGGGAAUUUGGGCUGUUACUUUGAAAAAAUUAGAGUGUUUAAAGCAAGCUAACGCUUGAAUACAUUAGCAUGGAAUAAUGAAAUAGGACGUUCGAUCCUAUUUUGUUGGUUUCUAGGAUUGACGUA
rnacentral:rRNA from 1 species